rnacentral:lncRNA from 1 species
GAUACAUGACAAGAAUAGUUUGUUCACAUCUCCGCAAAACUCGACCAAGUUUGUUUAAUUAACCUUCCAAAGAAAUUCCGUAAUCGGACAAAUCAUAAAUGAAAACCUCAACAAUCUUUUCACCAAAUUAGAGAAUACUACGAUGAUACAUCUUUGAGAUUUUUUUUUAAAAGUACUUCCGAUUUUCUACCAAAUUCGAAAAG